rnacentral:rRNA from 1 species
GUGAACGAUGAACCGGUUUCGGCCGGGGAUUAGUGGCGAACGGGUGAGUAACACGUGGGCAAUCUGCCCUGCACUCUGGGACAAGCCCUGGAAACGGGGUCUAAUACCGGAUACGACUGCCGACCGCAUGGUCUGGUGGUGGAAAGCUCCGGCGGUGCAGGAUGAGCCCGCGGCCUAUCAGCUUGUUGGUGGGGUGAUGGCCUACCAAGGCGACGACGGGUAGCCGGCCUGAGAGGGCGACCGGCCACACUGGGACUGAGACACGGCCCAGACUCCUACGGGAGGCAGCAGUGGGGAAUAUUGCACAAUGGGCGCAAGCCUGAUGCAGCGACGCCGCGUGAGGGAUGACGGCCUUCGGGUUGUAAACACUCUUUUCAAGCAAGGAAAGGAAACGCAAGAUAUACCGGAACCCGCACGAAGGGAAGCGCCCGGCGAAAAUUAAGUGACCAGCAAGCCGAUGGAAAAUAAAAUAGGGACACAAGAAAUUAUUCCGGGAAAUAAUUGGGCGUAAAGGAGCUCGUAGGACGGCUUGUCGCAUUCGGAUGUGAAAGCCCGGGGGCUUAACUCCGGGUCUGCCAUUCGAUACGGGCAGGCUAGAGUUCGGUAGGGGAGAUCCGAAUUCCCUGGUGUAGCGGUGAAAUGCGCAGAUAUCAGGAGGAACACCGGUGGCGAAGGCGGAUCUCUGGGCCGAUACUGACGCUGAGGAGCGAAAGCGUGGGGAGCGAACAGGAUUAGAUACCCUGGUAGUCCACGCCGUAAACGUUGGGAACUAGGUGUGGGCGACAUUCCACGUUGUCCGUGCCGCAGCUAACGCAUUAAGUUCCCCGCCUGGGGAGUACGGCCGCAAGGCUAAAACUCAAAGGAAUUGACGGGGGCCCGCACAAGCGGCGGAGCAUGUGGCUUAAUUCGACGCAACGCGAAGAACCUUACCAAGGCUUGACAUACACCGGAAAAAUCUGGAGACAGGGUCCCCCUUGUGGUCGGUGUACAGGUGGUGCAUGGCUGUCGUCAGCUCGUGUCGUGAGAUGUUGGGUUAAGUCCCGCAACGAGCGCAACCCUUGUUCUGUGUUGCCAGCAUGCCUUUCGGGGUGAUGGGGACUCACAGGAGACUGCCGGGGUCAACUCGGAGGAAGGUGGGGACGACGUCAAGUCAUCAUGCCCCUUAUGUCUUGGGCUGCACACGUGCUACAAUGGCCGGUACAAUGAGCUGCGAAGCCGUGAGGUGGAGCGAAUCUCAAAAAGCCGGUCUCAGUUCGGAUUGGGGUCUGCAACUCGACCCCAUGAAGUCGGAGUCGCUAGUAAUCGCAGAUCAGCAUUGCUGCGGUGAAUACGUUCCCGGGCCUUGUACACACCGCCCGUCACGUCACGAAAGUCGGU